CUACGGGGGGCUCCAGUGAGGAAUAUUGCACAAUGGGGGGAACCCUGAUGCAGCAACGCCGCGUGGAGGAUGACGCAUUUCGGUGUGUAAACUCCUUUUAUAUGUCAAGAAAAUGACGGUAGCAUAUGAAUAAGCACCGGCUAACUCCGUGCCAGCAGCCGCGGUAAUACGGAGGGUGCAAGCGUUACUCGGAAUCACUGGGCGUAAGGGACGCGUAGGCGGGUUGGAAAGUCAGGUGUGAAAUCCUACAGCUUAACUGUAGAACUGCACUUGAAACUUCUAAUCUAGAGUAUGGGAGGGGGAGAUUGAAUUACUGGUGUAGGGGUAAAAUCCGUAGAUAUCACUAGGAAUACCUAAAGCGAAGGCGAUCUCCUGGAACAUUACUGACGCUAAGGCGUGAAAGCGUGGGGAGCAAACAGGAUUAGAUACCCUCGUAGUC
rnacentral:rRNA from 1 species